GAUGAACGCUGGCGGCGUGCUUAACACAUGCAAGUCGAACGGAAAGGCCGAAACUUGCUUCGGUACUCGUGUGCCGAACGGGUGAGUAACACGUGGGUGUUCUGCCCUUUUCUUCCGGAUAUGCCUGGGAAACUGGGUCUAAUACCGGAUAUGAUGAUCUCUUGGACGGGGUUCUGGAAAGCUUUUGCGGUAUGGGAUGAGCUCGCGGCGUAUCAGCGUGUUGGUGGGUUGAUGGCCUACCAAGGCGUCGACGGGUAGCCGGCCUGAUAGAGUGUACGGACACAUUAGACUCGAGAGACAGGCCAGACUACUACGUGAGGCAGCAGGGGGGAAUAUUGGACAAUGGACGGAAGCCUGAUGCAGCGAGGCCGCCGGGGCGAUGACGGCCGUCGGGAUGUAAACACAUAUCGCAAACGACGAAGGCUUUUGGUGACGGUAGGUUGACAAGAAGCCACGGCUAACUACGUG
rnacentral:rRNA from 1 species